rnacentral:rRNA from 1 species
AUUGAACGCUGGCGGCAGGCCUAACACAUGCAAGUCGAGCGGAGCGGCGGACGGGUGAGUAAUGCCUAGGAAUCUGCCUGGUAGGGGGGGAUAACGUCCGGAAACGGGCGCUAAUACCGCAUACUAUCAGAUGAGCCUAGGUCGGAUUAGCUAGUUGGUGGGGGAAAGGCCUACCAAGGCGACGACCCAUAACUGGUCUGAGAGGCAGAUCAGUCACACUGGAACUGAGACACGGUCCAGACUCCUACGGGAGGCAGCAGUGGUGAAUAUUGGACAAUGGGCGAAAGCCUGAUCCAGCCAUGCCGGUUGUGUGAAGGAGGUAUUCGGAUUGUAAAGCACUUUAAGUUGGGAGGCAUUACCAACAGAAUAAGCACCGGCUAACUUCGUGCCAGCAGCCGCGGUAAUUC